GUGCCCACGCGUGUCGGCACCGGAGAGCCCCUCUGAGCUGUCCUGUGGAGCGCGGAGCGUCCCGGCCUUGUGACGCUUCCAGGCGAUUUGGUCCUCCAAGGGGACCUCUGGGGAGGAUGGAGGUCCCCGGGGGUUUGUCCUGUUUUUGACACAAGCAGGAAGCGCUCGGGUCCUGCUCCAGCCAAGCUGUGCCUUCGCCUCAGCGCCCAGCAGGUGCCACGUCUCAGCAGCGCUGUUGGGAGCUGCCCAACGCCCGAAUAGCUCACAUUCCCGGAGGCUGUGGGUAACUGUCAGCCACGCACGGCUCCAAGGAGUGGAAAUUCCUGUGCUCUGUGGCUCUGUUAGCUGUGGGGUUACAGCCACCCACAGCCCACCCACGCUGGGGCUGCAGGAUCCCCUCGGGACGCUGUUGGGUUUGACACGCACAUUCUUGGCCAGACGUCAGCAUGCUGAAGGGAAAGACAUGGGGAGAUGAACAAAACACUCCUAAAAGGAGAGAAUGAUGGAGAAAAGAGCGCAUCUGCAAUCGGCCUUCCUGAUUUCCUACAAACUGGGACACUUCCCCUGCUCUUCCUUAUCCUUGAAUCACCUCAGCCAGUGAUGGAGAGUAAAUAAACACAGAGCUGUGA